rnacentral:rRNA from 1 species
GACGAACGCUGGCGGCGUGCUUAACACAUGCCAGUCGAACGGAAAGACCCUGCGCUUGUGCCGUGCUCGAGUGGCGAACGGGUGUGUGACACGUGUGUAACCUGCACCUAUCUUUCGGAUAACUUCACGGAACUGGGGCUCAUACCGGAUAGAAUCUCUUGCACCAUGGUGGGGGUUGGAAAGAUUCGGCGGUUGGGGAUGGACUAGCGGCUUAUCAGCUUGUUGGUGGGGUAGUGGCUUACCAAGGCUUUGACGGGUAGCCGGCCUGGGAGGGUGACCGGCGACAUUGGGACUGAGAGACGGCCCAGACUCGUACGGGAGGCAGCAGGGGGGAACAUUGCAGAACGGGCGGAAGUGUGAUGCAGCAACGCCGCGUGCGGGAUGACGGCCUUCGGGUUGUAAACCGCUUUCGCCUGUGACGAAGCGUGAGUGACGGUAACGGGUAAAGAAGCACCGGCUAACUACGUG